AGUGAACGCUGGCGGUAGGCCUAACACAUGCAAGUCGAACGGCAGCACAGGAGAGCUUGCUCUCUGGGUGGCGAGUGGCGGACGGGUGAGGAAUACAUCGGAAUCUGCCCAGUCGUGGGGGAUAACGUAGGGAAACUUACGCUAAUACCGCAUACGACCUUCGGGUGAAAGAGGGGGAUCGCAAGACCUCUCGCGAUUGGAUGAGCCGAUGUCGGAUUAGCUAGUUGGCGGGGUAAUGGCCCACCAAGGCGACGAUCCGUAGCUGGUCUGAGAGAAUGAUCAGCCACACUGGAACUGAGACACGGUCCAGACUCCUACGGGAGGCAGCAGUGGGGAAUAUUGGACAAUGGGCGCAAGCCUGAUCCAGCCAUACCGCGUGGGUGAAGAAGGCCUUCGGGUUGUAAAGCCCUUUUGUUGGGAAAGAAAUCUUUCAGGCUAAUACCCUGGGAGGAUGACGGUACCCAAAGAAUAAGCACCGGCUAACUUCGUG
rnacentral:rRNA from 1 species